AUGUGUAUGUGUAUCUUGUUGCUUGACGCAACAGUGUGGAACACCAAAACUCUGCUUUUGAAGAAUCGAGGAAAAAUUAUUGAAGUCAGUUUACUAAAAACAACUGAAAAUUGCUGUUCGUGAUAUCACACGGCAUCUGUUGAAGUUGCUGCCGUUUGGUGGUUCUACGUUUAAUCAAACCGCUGCCUUUGAAACUGUGCAAGAGGAAAGAGAAACUUUGCUGCAUCACCUACGACAUCGAAAUGGAACAUUCCUCGAUGGUUGUGUGAUAAAGGUUUUGAGGCGCAUUUAAUAAACGUUGAACGACAAGGCAUCGCUGGUUAGUGUUUAACACCAUACAAACGGUAUCGACAUAUGACCGCAAUUGUAUGCAUAUGGCGUGCGUGUGGAUAAA